CUUCUGUGCAUAUGCCAACACAGGUAUUUUAUAGGGGUCUCACUGUGUUGCCCAGGCUGGAGUGCAGCAGCUCAGUCUUGGCUCACUGCAACCACCCGCUCUUGUCUCAAGUGAUUCUCCUGCCUCAGACUCCCAGGUAGCUAGGACUACAGGUGCACACCUCUAUGCCUGGCCAAUUUUUCAUAUUUUUUGUAGAAGCAGGGUUUGCCAUGUUGCCUAGGCUAGUCUUGAACUCUUGGACUCAAGUGAUUCGCCCACCUUGACCUCUCAAAGUGCUGGGAUUAUAGGUGCGAGCCGCAGAACCCGGCCUUUUUUCAUAAUAUUUUAACAAGUUAUUUGUACAUAGAAAAGUUAUUGGUUAUGCAUAAUAAUUUUCCUACCUGAGUUAUUGUUUUCCAUAGGUUCAGCCAGUUCUCCUGGGUAUUCCAAGCACACAGUCAUGUGAUCUGUGAACAGUGGUAACUUAGCCUUGACAUCUCACUAUUUUACUGGCACUUCUGACUCUCCUCUGAUUUUAUUGUCUAGCCUUCUGUAACCAGCCUACAUAAGAUCACAG
rnacentral:lncRNA from 1 species